GAAUUACUGGGCGUAAAGCGCACGCAGGCGGUCUGUCAAGUCGGAUGUGAAAUCCCCGGGCUCAACCUGGGAACUGCAUUCGAAACUGGCAGGCUUGAGUCUUGUAGAGGGGGGUGGAAUUCCAGGUGUAGCGGUGAAAUGCGUAGAGAUCUGGAGGAAUACCGGUGGCGAAGGCGGCCCCCUGGACAAAGACUGACGCUCAGGUGCGAAAGCGUGGGGAGCAAACAGGAUUAGAUACCCUGGUAGUCCACGCCGUAAACGAUGUCUACUUGGAGGUUGUGCCCUUGAGGCGUGGCUUCCGGAGCUAACGCGUUAAGUAGACCGCCUGGGGAGUACGGCCGCAAGGUUAAAACUCAAAUGAAUUGACGGGGGCCCGCACAAGCGGUGGAGCAUGUGGUUUAAUUCGAUGCAACGCGAAGAACCUUACCUGGUCUUGACAUCCACAGAACUUUCCAGAGAUGGAUUGGUGCCUUCGGGAACUGUGAGACAGGUGCUGCAUGGCUGUCGUCAGCUCGUGUUGUGAAAUGUUGGGUUAAGUCCCGCAACGAGCGCAAC
rnacentral:rRNA from 1 species